CCUCCAAACGUCGGAGAAUAUCCUAUCAGAGAGACUCUGAUGAAAAUCUAACGGAUGCUGAAGGAAAAGUAAUUGGUCUCCAGAUAUUCAAUAUUGAUACAGAUAAAGCAUGUGCAGUUGAAACUUCUGUAGAUCUUUCUGAGAUAUCAUCUAAACUUGGUUCAACACAGUCUGGAUUUUUAGUUGAAGAGUCUCUUCCCCUUUCAGAGCUCACAGAGACUUCAAAUGCCAGAAAUCCAACUCAGCGAAUCUCCUUGCCUUCUCUGUACCUGCCUCAGAGCUGCUAAUAUUUGCACUGAAGGUUGCUGACUGUGUAGUGGGCAGAGGACCAAGUGAUGCCGUUUCACCUGACACGUUCACAGCAGAAGUGAGCUCAGAUGCAGUCCCUGAUGUCAGGUCACCAACUACUCCAGCCUGCAGGAGAGACCUUCCCACCCCCAAGACCUUUGUACUUCGUUCUGUACUGAAGAAACCCUCUGUUAAGAUGUGUCUAGAGAGCUUACAGGAACACUGUAACCACCUCUGUGAUGACGAUGGGACUCAUCCGAGCUUAAUCUCAAAUCUCCCAAACUGUUGGAAAGAGAAAGAAGCAGAAGAUGAAGAAAAUUUUGAAGCACCGGCCUUUCUAAAUAUGAGGAAGAGGAAGAGAGUUACUUUUGGAGAGGACUUAAGCCCGGAAGUGUUUGAUGAAUCUUUGCCAGCAAAUACUCCAUUGCGUAAAGGAGGAACACCUGUUUGUAAAAAGGACUUGAGUGGUCUCAGUUCCCUGCUGCUUGAGCAGUCACCUAUUCCUGAGCCAUUACCUCAGCCAGAUUUUGAUGACAAGGGGGAGAAUCUUGAAAACAUAGAACCACUUCAAGUAUCAUUUGCCAUUCUCAGUUCUCCUAAUAAAUCAUCAAUUUCUGAGACCCUUUC
rnacentral:sRNA from 1 species